AGAGUUUGAUCAUGGCUCAGAAUCAACGCUGGCGGCGUGCCUAACACAUGCAAGUCGAACGCGAAAGGGGAGCAAUCCCUGAGUAGAGUGGCAAACGGGUGAGUAACACGUGGGUGACCUGCCUUCGAGUGGGGGAUAACGUUCCGAAAGGAACGCUAAUACCGCAUGACAUCCUGCUCUUGGACGAGCGGAGAUCAAAGCUGGGGAUCGCAAGACCUGGCGCUUGAAGAGGGGCCCGCGCCUGAUUAGCUAGUUGGUGAGGUAACGGCUCACCAAGGCAACGAUCAGUAUCCGGCCUGAGAGGGCGGACGGACACACUGGGACUGAGACACGGCCCAGACUCCUACGGGAGGCAGCAGUGGGGAAUUGUUCGCAAUGGGCGCAAGCCUGACGACGCAACGCCGCGUGGAGGAUGAAGAUCUUCGGGUCGUAAACUCCUGUCGAAUGGGAAGAACGUUUCGCGGAUGAAUAAGCCGCGGAAGUGACGGUACCGCUAAAGAGCC
rnacentral:rRNA from 1 species